rnacentral:rRNA from 1 species
CUUUUGAGAGCGGCGGACGGGUGAGUAACGCGUAGGAACCUACCUAAUAGAUUGGGAUAGCCCAGAGAAAUUUGGAUUAAUACCGAAUACGCCCUACGGGGGAAAGCAGGGGAUCUUCGGACCUUGCGCUAUUAGAUGGGCCUGCGUGAGAUUAGCUUGUUGGUGAGGUAAGAGCUCACCAAGGCGACGAUCUCUAGCUGGUCUGAGAGGAUGAUCAGCCACACUGGAACUGAGACACGGUCCAGACUCC